UACGUAGGGUGCAAGCGUUGUCCGGAAUUAUUGGGCGUAAAGAGCUCGUAGGCGGCCUGUUACGUCUGCUGUGAAAUCCCGGGGCUUAACCCCGGGCGUGCAGUGGAUACGGGCAGGCUGGAGGCAGGCAGGGGAGAACGGAAUUCCCGGUGUAGCGGUGAAAUGCGCAGAUAUCGGGAGGAACACCGGUGGCGAAGGCGGUUCUCUGGGCCUGUACUGACGCUGAGGAGCGAAAGCGUGGGAGCGAACAGG
rnacentral:rRNA from 1 species